UUGUUUAAUCAGCGUAAAACAAUUUGAUGUUUGUCAUACUUGAUAAAACACAGACACCAUUAGAAAAUUUAGAACCUGUUCUAAGAAAAGAUAUUCAGAAGAUAUGGGAUUCUGUUCCUAAGCCACAAGAAAAUUACACAAUUUCGUCGAAAGUCAUGAGG